rnacentral:rRNA from 1 species
GACGAACGCUGGCGGCGGGCUUAACACAUGCAAGUCGAACGGAAAGGCCCUGCUUUUGUGGGGUGCUCGAGUGGCGAACGGGUGAGUAACACGUGAGUAACCUGCCCUGGACUUUGGGAUAACUGCAGGAAACUGGGGCUAAUACCUGAUAGGUGCGCCUGCUGCAUGGUGGGGGUUGGAAAUUUUCGUCGGUUGGGGAUGUACUCGCGGCUUAUCAGCUUGUGGGUGGGGUAGUUGCUUACCAGGGGUUUGACGGGUAGCCGGCAUGAGAGGGUGACCGGCCACAUUGGGACUGAGAUACGGACCAGACUCCUACGGGAGGCAGCAGUGGGGAAUAUUGCACAAUGGGCGGAAGCCUGAUGAAGCAACGCCGCGUGCGGGAUGACGGUCUUCGGGUUGUAAACCGCUUUCGCCUGUGACGAAGCGUGAGUGACGGUAAUGGGUAAAGAAGCACCGGCUAACUACGUG